GGGAUAGCUCAGUCAGUAGAGCAAGAGACUCUUAAUCUCAGGGUUGUGGGUUCACGUCCCACAUUGGGCCA